CAGUCGCCGCGGUAAUACGAGGGGUGCAAGCGUUAAUCGGAAUUACUGGGCGUAAAGCGUGCGCAGGCGGUUUUGUAAGACAGGCGUGAAAUCCCCGGGCUCAACCUGGGAAUGGCGCUUGUGACUGCAAAGCUAGAGUGCGGCAGAGGGGGAUGGAAUUCCGCGUGUAGCAGUGAAAUGCGUAGAUAUGCGGAGGAACACCGAUGGCGAAGGCAAUCCCCUGGGCCUGCACUGACGCUCAUGCACGAAAGCGUGGGGAGCAAACAGGAUUAGAUACCCGUGUAGUCCCUGUCUCUUAUAA
rnacentral:rRNA from 1 species